rnacentral:rRNA from 1 species
UAAGCGACUAAGCGUACACGGUGGAUGCCCUGGCAGUCAGAGGCGAUGAAGGACGUGCUAAUCUGCGAAAAGCGCCGGCGAGGUGAUAUGAACCUUUGACCCGGCGAUGUCCGAAUGGGGAAACCCAGUGCAAUUCGUUGCACUAUCGUUAACUGAAUACAUAGGUUAACGAGGCGAACCGGGGGAACUGAAACAUCUAAGUACCCCGAGGAAAAGAAAUCAACCGAGAUUCCCCCAGUAGCGGCGAGCGAACGGGGAGCAGCCCGGAGUCUGAAUCAGCUUGUGUGUUAGUGGAACGGUCUGGAAAGUCCGACGGUACAGGGUGAUAGUCCCGUACACGAAAAUGCACAGGUUGUGAACUCGAAGAGUAGGGCGGGACACGUGGUAUCCUGUCUGAAUAUGGGGGGACCAUCCUCCAAGGCUAAAUACUCCUGACUGACCGAUAGUGAACCAGUACCGUGAGGGAAAGGCGAAAAGAACCCCGGCGAGGGGAGUGAAAAAGAACCUGAAACCGUGUACGUACAAGCAGUGGGAGCCUCUUUAUGGGGUGACUGCGUACCUUUUGUAUAAUGGGUCAGCGACUUAUAUUCUGUAGCAAGGUUAACCGUAUAGGGGAGCCGAAGGGAAACCGAGUCUUAACUGGGCGUUAAGUUGCAGGGUAUAGACCCGAAACCCGGUGAUCUAGCCAUGGGCAGGUUGAAGGUUGGGUAACACUAACUGGAGGACCGAACCGACUAAUGUUGAAAAAUUAGCGGAUGACCUGUGGCUGGGGGUGAAAGGCCAAUCAAACCGGGAGAUAGCUGGUUCUCCCCGAAAGCUAUUUAGGUAGCGCCUCGUGAACUCAUCUUCGGGGGUAGAGCACUGUUUCGGCUAGGGGGCCAUCCCGGCUUACCAACCCGAUGCAAACUACGAAUACCGAAGAAUGUUAUCACGGGAGACACACGGCGGGUGCUAACGUCCGUCGUGAAGAGGGAAACAACCCAGACCGCCAGCUAAGGUCCCAAAGUCAUGGUUAAGUGGGAAACGAUGUGGGAAGGCACAGACAGCCAGGAUGUUGGCUUAGAAGCAGCCAUCAUUUAAAGAAAGCGUAAUAGCUCACUGGUCGAGUCGGCCUGCGCGGAAGAUGUAACGGGGCUAAACCAUGCACCGAAGCUGCGGCAGCGACACUAUGUGUUGUUGGGUAGGGGAGCGUUCUGUAAGCCGUUGAAGGUGUGCUGUGAGGCAUGCUGGAGGUAUCAGAAGUGCGAAUGCUGACAUAAGUAACGAUAAAGCGGGUGAAAAGCCCGCUCGCCGGAAGACCAAGGGUUCCUGUCCAACGUUAAUCGGGGCAGGGUGAGUCGACCCCUAAGGCGAGGCCGAAAGGCGUAGUCGAUGGGAAACAGGUUAAUAUUCCUGUACUUGGUGUUACUGCGAAGGGGGGACGGAGAAGGCUAUGUCAGCCGGGCGACGGUUGUCCCGGUUUAAGCAUGUAGGCGGAGGUUCCAGGUAAAUCCGGUACCUUAUUAACGCUGAGGUGUGAUGACGAGGCACUACGGUGCUGAAGUGAUAAAUGCCCUGCUUCCAGGAAAAGCCUCUAAGCAUCAGGUAACACGAAAUCGUACCCCAAACCGACACAGGUGGUCAGGUAGAGAAUACCAAGGCGCUUGAGAGAACUCGGGUGAAGGAACUAGGCAAAAUGGUGCCGUAACUUCGGGAGAAGGCACGCUGAUGUGUAGGUGAAGCCCCUGCGGGUGGAGCUGAAAUCAGUCGAAGAUACCAGCUGGCUGCAACUGUUUAUUAAAAACACAGCACUGUGCAAACACGAAAGUGGACGUAUACGGUGUGACGCCUGCCCGGUGCCGGAAGGUUAAUUGAUGGGGUUAGCGGCAACGCGAAGCUCUUGAUCGAAGCCCCGGUAAACGGCGGCCGUAACUAUAACGGUCCUAAGGUAGCGAAAUUCCUUGUCGGGUAAGUUCCGACCUGCACGAAUGGCGUAAUGAUGGCCAGGCUGUCUCCACCCGAGACUCAGUGAAAUUGAACUCGCUGUGAAGAUGCAGUGUACCCGCGGCAAGACGGAAAGACCCCGUGAACCUUUACUAUAGCUUGACACUGAACACUGGUCCUUGAUGUGUAGGAUAGGUGGGAGGCUUUGAAGCGUGGACGCCAGUCUGCGUGGAGCCAACCUUGAAAUACCACCCUUUAAUGGCUGGUGUUCUAACGUAGACCCGUAAUCCGGGUUGCGGACAGUGUCUGGUGGGUAGUUUGACUGGGGCGGUCUCCUCCCAAAGAGUAACGGAGGAGCACGAAGGUUGGCUAAUCCUGGUCGGACAUCAGGAGGUUAGUGCAAUGGCAUAAGCCAGCUUGACUGCGAGCGUGACGGCGCGAGCAGGUGCGAAAGCAGGUCAUAGUGAUCCGGUGGUUCUGAAUGGAAGGGCCAUCGCUCAACGGAUAAAAGGUACUCCGGGGAUAACAGGCUGAUACCGCCCAAGAGUUCAUAUCGACGGCGGUGUUUGGCACCUCGAUGUCGGCUCAUCACAUCCUGGGGCUGAAGUAGGUCCCAAGGGUAUGGCUGUUCGCCAUUUAAAGUGGUACGCGAGCUGGGUUUAGAACGUCGUGAGACAGUUCGGUCCCUAUCUGCCGUGGGCGCUGGAGAAUUGAGGGGGGCUGCUCCUAGUACGAGAGGACCGGAGUGGACGCAUCACUGGUGUUCGGGUUGUCAUGCCAAUGGCACUGCCCGGUAGCUAAAUGCGGAAGAGAUAAGUGCUGAAAGCAUCUAAGCACGAAACUUGCCCCGAGAUGAGUUCUCCCUGAGACUUUAAGUCUCCUGAAGGAACGUUGAAGACGACGACGUUGAUAGGUCGGGUGUGUAAGCGCAGCGAUGCGUUGAGCUAACCGAUACUAAUGAACCGUGAGGCUUAACCU